rnacentral:rRNA from 1 species
CGGAGGAUCCAAGCGUUAUCCGGAUUUAUUGGGUUUAAAGGGUGCGUAGGCGGCCUAUUAAGUCAGGGGUGAAAGACGGUAGCUUAACUAUCGCAGUGCCUUUGAUACUGAUGGGCUUGAAUGAACUAGAGGUAGGCGGAAUGUGACAAGUAGCGGUGAAAUGCAUAGAUAUGUCACAGAACACCAAUUGCGAAGGCAGCUUACUAUGGUUUUAUUGACGCUGAGGCACGAAAGCGUGGGGAUCAAACAGGAUUAGAUACCCUGGUAGUCCACGCCCUAAACGAUGAACACUCGAUGUUAGCGAUAUACAGUUAGCGUCUAAGCGAAAGCGUUAAGUGUUCCACCUGGGGAGUACGCCCGCAAGGGUG